GCCGGGCGUGGUGGUGCACGCCUGUAAUCCCAGCUACCCAGGAGGCUGAGGCAGGAGAAUCACUUGAACCCGGGAGGCGGAGGGUGCAGUGAGCUGAGAUUGCGCCACUGCACUCCAGCCUGGGCGACAGAGCGAGACUCCGUCUCAA
ensembl:misc_RNA Metazoa_SRP Metazoan signal recognition particle RNA